rnacentral:lncRNA from 1 species
UUAUUAAUAGUAAAAUUCUUAUUUUGCUAUUAAGUUUUUAAUCUUUGGAUGAAAAAUUGUAGAAUUAAAAUGAUAUUAGUCAGUAUAUAUAGAAUUAGACUGGAAUAUUAUUAAUAGUAAAAUUCUUAUUUUGCUAUCAAGUUUUUAACCCUUAGAUGAAAAAUUGUAGGGUUGAGAUGAUAUUAGUCAGUUAGAGUUGAGUGGCUGAAUGGUCCCCACUGAAUUAUAGUAUUUAAUUCAAUGGUUAGAAAUGAUGAAAAAAGUUAAUCCAAAGACUAAAAAACUGAUAGCAAUAAUAGGAUUUUACUACUAAUAAUAGCCCAGUCCAACUCUAUAUAUAUAUAUAUAUAUAUAUAUAUAUAUAGAUAUAGAUAAUCGUCCAUUAUUAGUGUUCUUGAAACUUGCAUGCUAUCGCUAAUUCUCGCAGCAGCGGCACAGAGCAACAUCUGAAGAUACAUAUAUAUAUUCUUCUCUUUCAAAACAGCAAACUAAUUAAUAUGCAUGAGAUUAACUUGUUUCUAAGGCUGCGUGCGUGCAUACUCUAUAUAUAUCCGCCGGCACACGACUGCAUGCAGUCUGCAGCUCAAUCUGGGCCCCAACAGCUCACGUAGAAAACCAUUCGUAAUGACUCGUCGCCUGCCGCGGGCUGCCUUGAGCCAUCAGCUUCGUCAUUAUUCCUGCAUGCCGCAGCAUCGGUGCACGGGAACCGCACUUGCGACGCCGACGGCGAGCUCCAUCGGAGAGACGGGGAGAAAUUCCAUCUUUUCGCCUUUUCUUCAAGCUCGAGGACUGCACCUAGUGCGACAGAUAUUGUCCAUACCUUGUUUGCAAGCCUCUUCAUCUUUUAUUUAUUUUUUCUUUUCUUUUUUCUGUGAAUUAAUAAGCUAGCUGGAUGAGCAUGAACCCAGAAGAAAUACAAAGAAAGAAGGGUGACUGGGAUAAGAGUUAUGGAUGGAUAGAGCCGGAGUAGCUAGUGAGCGUACAGACACGUGUUUUUGUAUUUAUACUCGAAGCUAGCAUUAUAAUUUACUUGUGUUGACAGGUAAGAUACGUGGUUGAGGGACACUGGUAGGUUGAGGAAGGGGGAUUGGGGGAAUCUUAUGAUCUCUUUGCCUUGGAGGAUUACUAAUAAUGCUUAUAGAAGAUAGCUAGACAGAUAUAUACGGUGGGUAUGUAUUGGAGCGUGGGGAAACCACUGGAAACAGCACGUUGGUUUCCUCAAAACCGGGAACGGGUUGAGCGGGUUGGUUGGAUGCGGUUGUCCUUCUUUGUUACGUCCUUUUCUUUGUCCCCUCCGAUUCCUCUCUCUCUCUCUCUCUCUCUCUCUCUCUCUCUCUCU